rnacentral:sRNA from 1 species
GCUGGGUGCGGUGGCGCACGCCUGUAAUCCCAGCGAUUUGGGAGGCUGAGGUAGGAGGAUCGCAAAUUCAAAGCCAGCCUCAGCAAUUUAGCAAGACCCUGUCUCAA